rnacentral:tRNA from 1 species
GUCGGUAUCGUCUAAUGGUAGGACGGGGGACUGUGGAUCCCCAGGCCCGGGUUCGAUUCCCGGUACUGACU